AGCGUCGCCUACCGCCUCCUCCUCAUCCCAUGGGCGCUGCCAACCGCCGCCUCCUCUCACGGCCGCGGUAGGCAUCUCGUUCUCCUCCUCUCCUUCACUGUGAGGGGCUGAAAUUGGUGUUUUUUUUAUAAUUUUGUGUUCAAAUCGGAUAUGAAUAGAUGAAUUAGGAAAAUAUGUGUUGAAAUUGAAUGAAUAGAUGUUGAAUUGAACGAUUUGUGUUGAAAUUGUGUCGAAUUUGGGUUGAUAUUGGGUCAAUUUUGGUUUAAGAUAUGAGAUGUGAAUGAAAUAGGGACUGUGAUUUAGAGGCUCUUGCUGGAAACAAUUGCAAUUUUUGGGUCCCUACUUAUGAGGCCUGACCCCUAUUUGCAAAUUUAGAGGCCCUGUUUGAGGGCCGUUGCUCGACAUUCUCUUACGUAGGCUC
rnacentral:lncRNA from 1 species